AUAAAAAAUCCAGAAAAGUCAAGAGACAUAAAGAAUCGUAUGCAUACAGCCAUACUGCUGAAAAUGGCUUAACUUAUUUGUACAAUGGUUUUAUCUUCUUAAUUGAAAAUAUUUAGGUUUUUUAUUGUAUUUUAAGAGAGUGAAAAGUACAUGAUAAUGCUUCUAACAAGGAAUUUAAUAAUUACCUUUACUUUGUGUUUAUGGAAUGUAGUUAGUUGUGACGAUAAGAAUGAAUGUAGUAUGGAUAGUGAUUGCUUUACAUGCUGUCCACCUCCCACUACUACUAUAGAAUGUAAGAAUGAUGGUGAGGUAAUUAUUAUAAAAGAUAGUAAAUUUGUAUAUGAUGGUCAAAAGAAGUUAUGCGAAAGUAGGACAAGAGAGGAUCUUUUGGAAUCCUUCCGGGAUAUAAUUAAUAACAAACAAGAGAAUAGUUGUAUAUCUACUAAAUACAAUAAUCUAAGAAGAUCUUGUACAGGUCGAAAAAUAUGCCAAAUAAAAUUGGUUGAAAAAGAAGAUUGCCCAGGCGUUAGUAGACCUCAGCAUUUAUUACACAGCUAUAUUUAUUACCAAUAUAUAUGUCUUAAAGCCAAGGUUUUAGAAAGAGAGGAUUUACCGUGUUUUGAUAUAAAUGAAGGAACAUAUAAUAUAGUACCGAAAGUUAACAUCUCUUCUGUAUGUCUAAAAUUUAAACUUAAUCAUAUUCGCUUAAGUAUAAAAGUUCACUUGAAAUCUGGCUUGGGUUUCAAUCAAAAUUGCAAAUAUGGCACAUUAAAUGGACAGCAGAUAAAAAUCUUAUUUUCUAAGAGAAACGAUGCUAUAUUUGGGAAUGUAGAACUGAAAAAUAGCACUCAAAACAACGUUACUAUAAUGUUGGUCGGAUGCGAAUGGCUUUAUGGGUCUAUUACAGUUGAAAGGAUACUUAGCUCACCAUCUUUGAGGGAAAUAUCUGAAGAUCCUAUUAGUUUGCUACCUAAAUAUUAUAGCAAGAAUCCUGAUAAAACAACAACUAUUAUUAUACCAACCGAUGGUAAAACUGAUGGGAAGAGUAGCAGAAAAAUGAUUACUAUUAUCGUAAUAUGCGUCAUUACGCUUUUGGUCAUCGUAUUAGCUGUCAUAUUUGGUGUUAUAUAUCUCAAAAGGAGAAGAAGAAAUGACUCUGACUUUAGUGAAAACACGCAUCUAAAUGAUCAGCAGAGAGUCAAUGGCGAUACCAGUAAACCUAUUAUCAGAGUUAGAUCAAAGGAAUCAUUGAGCUCCAACGUUAGUCGAACUAGUAUGAGAAUCAAACAUUCAAAUGGAGAAGAAACUAUUUUACACUUGAAUUGUGAAGCUUCCGAAGUAGACUCUAUAGAAAUGUGGCCUAUUGAUCCGCAACCUUACGAAAGCGGAGUACUAGAUGAUACUCCCAAACUGGAUGCGCUACCAAAGCAAAGACUGUUACCUAAAGUUCCACCACCAAUAAAAGAGGAGUCUUACAACUCACUGGGAAAGAAAUCGUGAUGUUUAAAAUACGUGUAAAUUCCCCUUUUAAAUUAGAUCUGACAUGUUUAACUCUAAUUAAUCAUGACAUUUUUUGUACUAUAGAUAUAGAAAUUACUGAUGCUCUAUAAUUACAAAUCUGCCCCUACGAAAUAAAAAAUUAGACAAUAAAAAAGAAAAGGACGCUCGUUUGUUUUGAUUGCAUAAUGUAAAAAUAACUCGGCUACUCACCCCAUUGAUUGGACUGAUAACAUGUAGAUAAUUAGUAAAAUGAAUAUUGAACCUUCCAUCUACCAAUAUCUUCCAACUUCCGUUCCUAAAGCUAAAUAAAGUCGAAAUGUCAUCGAGUUGGACAUUUAUAUAUUAUACCGUCAAUUCGAUACGAAUGGCGAUGUGUAAAACGCGAGGUGUCGCUUCGAUACCUUAUUCGAACUGUGCAUGUUAAUUAGUUGCUGCUGUAAUCAACCGGUUAUUUAUCUUUGAUUUUUUUGUGACUAACAUAUAUUAAGUUUUUUAUGUAUUGUUGAAGCAAAUAUUUUAAACAAUAACUUGAAUGAAAUAAAAAGAAGGUAAAACUGGCUAAUAAAUGAAGCUUUUGUCUCUAUUUUACGUUCUAUUCAAAGGAUAAAAAAUAUAUCUUAUAAUUUUUUAAUGCUAAA
rnacentral:misc_RNA from 1 species